GGUUAAGCGACUAAGCGUACACGGUGGAUGCCCUGGCAGUCAGAGGCGAUGAAGGACGUGCUAAUCUGCGAUAAGCGUCGGUGAGGUGAUAUGAACCGUUAUAACCGGCGAUUUCCGAAUGGGGAAACCCAGUGUGAUUCGUCACACUAUCAUUAACUGAAUCCAUAGGUUAAUGAGGCGAACCGGGGGAACUGAAACAUCUAAGUACCCCGAGGAAAAGAAAUCAACCGAGAUUCCCCCAGUAGCGGCGAGCGAACGGGGAGGAGCCCAGAGCCUGAAUCAGUGUGUGUGUUAGUGGAAGCGUCUGGAAAGGCGCGCGAUACAGGGUGACAGCCCCGUACACAAAAAUGCACAUACUGUGAGCUCGAUGAGUAGGGCGGGACACGUGGUAUCCUGUCUGAAUAUGGGGGGACCAUCCUCCAAGGCUAAAUACUCCUGACUGACCGAUAGUGAACCAGUACCGUGAGGGAAAGGCGAAAAGAACCCCGGCGAGGGGAGUGAAAAAGAACCUGAAACCGUGUACGUACAAGCAGUGGGAGCCUCUUAAUGGGGUGACUGCGUACCUUUUGUAUAAUGGGUCAGCGACUUAUAUUCUGUAGCAAGGUUAACCGAAUAGGGGAGCCGAAGGGAAACCGAGUCUUAACUGGGCGUUAAGUUGCAGGGUAUAGACCCGAAACCCGGUGAUCUAGCCAUGGGCAGGUUGAAGGUUGGGUAACACUAACUGGAGGACCGAACCGACUAAUGUUGAAAAAUUAGCGGAUGACUUGUGGCUGGGGGUGAAAGGCCAAUCAAACCGGGAGAUAGCUGGUUCUCCCCGAAAGCUAUUUAGGUAGCGCCUCGUGAAUUCAUCUCCGGGGGUAGAGCACUGUUUCGGCAAGGGGGUCAUCCCGACUUACCAACCCGAUGCAAACUGCGAAUACCGGAGAAUGUUAUCACGGGAGACACACGGCGGGUGCUAACGUCCGUCGUGAAGAGGGAAACAACCCAGACCGCCAGCUAAGGUCCCAAAGUCAUGGUUAAGUGGGAAACGAUGUGGGAAGGCCCAGACAGCCAGGAUGUUGGCUUAGAAGCAGCCAUCAUUUAAAGAAAGCGUAAUAGCUCACUGGUCGAGUCGGCCUGCGCGGAAGAUGUAACGGGGCUAAACCAUGCACCGAAGCUGCGGCAGCGACACUAUGUGUUGUUGGGUAGGGGAGCGUUCUGUAAGCCUGUGAAGGUGUACUGUGAGGUAUGCUGGAGGUAUCAGAAGUGCGAAUGCUGACAUAAGUAACGAUAAAGCGGGUGAAAAGCCCGCUCGCCGGAAGACCAAGGGUUCCUGUCCAACGUUAAUCGGGGCAGGGUGAGUCGACCCCUAAGGCGAGGCCGAAAGGCGUAGUCGAUGGGAAACAGGUUAAUAUUCCUGUACUUGGUGUUACUGCGAAGGGGGGACGGAGAAGGCUAUGUUGGCCGGGCGACGGUUGUCCCGGUUUAAGCGUGUAGGCUGGUUUUCCAGGCAAAUCCGGAAAAUCAAGGCUGAGGCGUGAUGACGAGGCACUACGGUGCUGAAGCGACAAAUGCCCUGCUUCCAGGAAAAGCCUCUAAGCAUCAGGUAACAUCAAAUCGUACCCCAAACCGACACAGGUGGUCAGGUAGAGAAUACCAAGGCGCUUGAGAGAACUCGGGUGAAGGAACUAGGCAAAAUGGUGCCGUAACUUCGGGAGAAGGCACGCUGAUAUGUAGGUGAAGCGACUUGCUCGUGGAGCUGAAAUCAGUCGAAGAUACCAGCUGGCUGCAACUGUUUAUUAAAAACACAGCACUGUGCAAACACGAAAGUGGACGUAUACGGUGUGACGCCUGCCCGGUGCCGGAAGGUUAAUUGAUGGGGUUAGCGGUAACGCGAAGCUCUUGAUCGAAGCCCCGGUAAACGGCGGCCGUAACUAUAACGGUCCUAAGGUAGCGAAAUUCCUUGUCGGGUAAGUUCCGACCUGCACGAAUGGCGUAAUGAUGGCCAGGCUGUCUCCACCCGAGACUCAGUGAAAUUGAACUCGCUGUGAAGAUGCAGUGUACCCGCGGCAAGACGGAAAGACCCCGUGAACCUUUACUAUAGCUUGACACUGAACAUUGAGCCUUGAUGUGUAGGAUAGGUGGGAGGCUUUGAAGUGUGGACGCCAGUCUGCAUGGAGCCGACCUUGAAAUACCACCCUUUAAUGUUUGAUGUUCUAACGUGGGCCCCUUACCGGGGUUGCGGACAGUGUCUGGUGGGUAGUUUGACUGGGGCGGUCUCCUCCUAAAGAGUAACGGAGGAGCACGAAGGUUGGCUAAUCCUGGUCGGACAUCAGGAGGUUAGUGCAAUGGCAUAAGCCAGCUUGACUGCGAGCGUGACGGCGCGAGCAGGUGCGAAAGCAGGUCAUAGUGAUCCGGUGGUUCUGAAUGGAAGGGCCAUCGCUCAACGGAUAAAAGGUACUCCGGGGAUAACAGGCUGAUACCGCCCAAGAGUUCAUAUCGACGGCGGUGUUUGGCACCUCGAUGUCGGCUCAUCACAUCCUGGGGCUGAAGUAGGUCCCAAGGGUAUGGCUGUUCGCCAUUUAAAGUGGUACGCGAGCUGGGUUUAGAACGUCGUGAGACAGUUCGGUCCCUAUCUGCCGUGGGCGCUGGAGAACUGAGGGGGGCUGCUCCUAGUACGAGAGGACCGGAGUGGACGCAUCACUGGUGUUCGGGUUGUCAUGCCAAUGGCACUGCCCGGUAGCUAAAUGCGGAAGAGAUAAGUGCUGAAAGCAUCUAAGCACGAAACUUGCCCCGAGAUGAGUUCUCCCUGACUCCUUGAGAGUCCUGAAGGAACGUUGAAGACGACGACGUUGAUAGGCCGGGUGUGUAAGCGCAGCGAUGCGUUGAGCUAACCGGUACUAAUGAACCGUGAGGCUUAACCUU
rnacentral:rRNA from 2 species